rnacentral:rRNA from 1 species
CCUACGGGAGGCAGCAGUGAGGAAUAUUGGUCAAUGGACGAGAGUCUGAACCAGCCAAGUAGCGUGAAGGAUGACUGCCCUAUGGGUUGUAAACUUCUUUUAUAUGGGAAUAAAAUGUUCCACGUGUGGGAUUUUGUAUGUACCAUAUGAAUAAGGAUCGGCUAACUCCGUGCCAGCAGCCGCGGUAAUACGGAGGAUCCGAGCGUUAUCCGGAUUUAUUGGGUUUAAAGGGUGCGUAGGUGGAUUGUUAAGUCAGUUGUGAAAGUUUGCGGCUCAACCGUAAAAUUGCAGUUGAAACUGGCAGUCUUGAGUACAGUAGAGGUGGGCGGAAUGCGUGGUGUAGCGGUGAAAUGCUUAGAUAUCACGAAGAACUCCGAUUGCGAAGGCAGUUCACUGGACUGCAACUGACACUGAGGCUCGAAAGUGUGGGUAUCAAACAGGAUUAGAUACCCGUGUAGUC